UACCGAGUUUACAACUCCCAAACCCCUGUGAACAUACCACUUGUUGCCUCGGCGGAUCAGCCCGCUCCCGGUAAAACGGGACGGCCCGCCAGAGGACCCCUAAACUCUGUUUCUAUAUGUAACUUCUGAGUAAAACCAUAAAUAAAUCAAAACUUUCAACAACGGAUCUCUUGGUUCUGGCAUCGAUGAAGAACGCAGCAAAAUGCGAUAAGUAAUGUGAAUUGCAGAAUUCAGUGAAUCAUCGAAUCUUUGAACGCACAUUGCGCCCGCCAGUAUUCUGGCGGGCAUGCCUGUUCGAGCGUCAUUUCAACCCUCAAGCACAGCUUGGUGUUGGGACUCGCGUUAAUUCGCGUUCCUCAAAUUGAUUGGCGGUCACGUCGAGCUUCCAUAGCGUAGUAGUAAAACCCUCGUUACUGGUAAUCGUCGCGGCCACGCCGUUAAACCCCAACUUCUGAAUGUUGACCUCGGAUCAGGUAGGAAUACCCGCUGAACUUAAG
rnacentral:rRNA from 1 species